GCCGGGUGUGGUGGUGCACACCUGUAGUCCCAGCUACUCGGGAGGCUGAGGCAGGAGAAUCACUUGAACCCGGGAGUCAGAGGUUGCAGUGAGCCAGUAUCGCGCCACUGCACUCCAGCCUGGGUGACAAAGUGAGACUCUGUCUCAA
rnacentral:SRP_RNA from 1 species